rnacentral:rRNA from 2 species
CAUGCUCGUCGCACGAGCUUCCGUUGCAAUGACGUGCUUGCACUGAUUUCAACAAUGAAGCGAGUGGCGAACUGGUGAGUAACACGUGGGAAAUCUGCCCAGAAGCAGGGGAUAACACUUGGAAACAGGUGCUAAUACCGUAUAACAACAAAAUCCGCAUGGAUUUUGUUUGAAAGGUGGCUUCGGCUAUCACUUCUGGAUGAUCCCGCGGCGUAUUAGUUAGUUGGUGAGGUAAAGGCCCACCAAGACGAUGAUACGUAGCCGACCUGAGAGGGUAAUCGGCCACAUUGGGACUGAGACACGGCCCAAACUCCUACGGGAGGCAGCAGUAGGGAAUCUUCCACAAUGGACGAAAGUCUGAUGGAGCAAUGCCGCGUGAGUGAAGAAGGGUUUCGGCUCGUAAAACUCUGUUGUUAAAGAAGAACACCUUUGAGAGUAACUGUUCAAGGGUUGACGGUAUUUAACCAGAAAGCCACGGCUAACUACGUGCCAGCAGCCGCGGUAAUACGUAGGUGGCAAGCGUUGUCCGGAUUUAUUGGGCGUAAAGCGAGCGCAGGCGGUUUUUUAAGUCUGAUGUGAAAGCCUUCGGCUUAACCGGAGAAGUGCAUCGGAAACUGGGAGACUUGAGUGCAGAAGAGGACAGUGGAACUCCAUGUGUAGCGGUGGAAUGCGUAGAUAUAUGGAAGAACACCAGUGGCGAAGGCGGCUGUCUAGUCUGUAACUGACGCUGAGGCUCGAAAGCAUGGGUAGCGAACAGGAUUAGAUACCCUGGUAGUCCAUGCCGUAAACGAUGAGUGCUAAGUGUUGGAGGGUUUCCGCCCUUCAGUGCUGCAGCUAACGCAUUAAGCACUCCGCCUGGGGAGUACGACCGCAAGGUUG